AAAAAAAAGAUUGGCAACAGUUGUUAGCGCAGGUGCCAAUCCUUAAAAAAAAUUAUAAAAAAAAGAGAUGUUAUUGCAUAGAAUAUCAAAUUAGUAUGACUUUUAAAUAGAGACAGGAAGAAAUAUUUUAAAGGAACUUAUUUUCAUGAGAUUUCUGCUUUUGUGUCAGACCCUCAGAGUAGGAAUUACACUAUUGUUUAGGGAACGUUGGUGUAGCUGGUUUGAGAAGCACCGGAUUAAAGAAUAAUUUAUAAGGGGCAACGUUGACUACCACUGGUUAGAAUUUGGGGUUCGAGAUUCUAGGUGAGGCACUGUAACCCCAGGAUCUGAAGAGAAAACGUUGGCUCAGAGAAAUCCUUUUAAGGAGGCUAUUUAAGGCUGCACCAUUUCUCCAGGAGUCUAGACCAGAUUUUAAAUCUGAGUUAAGGGGGCAAAUGAAAUUAAACUGCCAAUUUGUUCCAGUUUUCCCCAGGCCACAGUGUCUUUGGGAUGUCAUAAAGCAUAUUGCUUCUCUCAGAGAUCUUUCCUUAUCCCAAAUAGAGAUUACUCGUUCAGCCUGGAUACCAAGAUGAAGACCAACACAGAAAAGAUUUAAACCUAGAAAUGUUGGAUAUACAGCAAGAGCAAGAAAUAAAUAUAUGUUAUGUAUCACUGAGAUUUAGGAUUCCUUCUUAAUACAGCAUAACUUAGCCUAAACUGACCAAUUUCUUUCUAUUUCGAUUAUGUAAGCACUGACAAAUGAUUCACACUCUCUCUGAAUGGUGCAUGAUGAUGAUUGUGUGUUGCCUUAACCAAUUAUUAAUAAAUAUCUCAUUUCUUUCAUUAAAACUCACUUCCUCUUUGUGCUUUACGUUUAUGUCAUUUAUGAAAUACAAAUAGUAUUUGUGGGAAUUAAAUGCUCCUUAGUGAGUCCGGUAUGAACCAAAGUUGCAAGAAAGAAAAACAGACAUGAGAUAGUUUAAGAAAAAACUGAAAUUAAUGGAAUUCUGAGCACUUAAAAAAACACAAGCAUCAAGUUAGCUCCAGAAAUAUGGGAGCAGGUAAAUAAGGUGUCAGUUUU
rnacentral:lncRNA from 1 species